AGGCCGUGUACAAGAGUUACUGGAUAUAUCGCUGGAAGAAGAUGACCUUGACCUGACAACAGAAAGACCUGCAACGGAGGAGGAUUUUUGCCAGUUAAGUGAAGACAGUGCAGAACCAGGUUUGACAACUUCUUCAACAGAAACCAGUAAAGGAUUUUCUUAUUACAUUGUCGCUGGUGUUGGAGGUAUUGUUGCCAUGGCAGCAGCUGCAGUCACAUACGUGUUCUCUGAAAAUACCUGAGUAAAACAUUACAGGAGGUCCUGGUUGUAAAAUAAGAGAUUAUAUUACACAACAGAGAAGUGCUGUGCAGGCUGACCUCCCCUUGGUUGAUAGUUCCGUGCUGGAGAAAGCCUUGACACUAAUAAUUUAGGACAUUUUGAUUAUUUAUUAGUUUAUUUUAUGUUAUAAAAAGAGUCAUUGGAAGUGGGGAAAUUCAUUUUGUUAUGUUUUUUUCUGGUUUCACCUUACUUCUCCACCGUGAGUAAGCUGUGCAGUAGAACUGGGAUGAAGCCGGAUGUAUGAAAACACUUUGAAUGUGCAAAAUAUCUUGAGAUCAUUUCAUUACUUCUUAAAAAUGGUAUUUAAUAUCAUUUAAACAUUGUAUAGGUAGUGUAGUGUCCACUUUAUCUUAGUUUAAUUAUAUUAUGUUUAAAGCAUUAAAUUAUGUAUUAUAAGAAUAAUAGUAGUGCAAUAUUAAAGUAAAACAUUGAUGUAAAGAUUUUGUGAAAAUGUAAAGGAUUACAGCAAAAAAAAAUAUAAAAUUAUAAUUCAGUCGUACAAAGUUAUUCAGGAAGAUUGUGGAAUCUUGAUGUUUGAUAAUGUUUAAAGGGUUAUAAAUUAAUCUAACAUUUUUGUACCCCCCAACAACAAAGUUGUAAGGGGGGGGUAUACUGGUUUCAGGUUGUCUGUCUGUCUGUCUGUCUGUCCGUCUGUCUGUCUGUCCGUCUGGCCGUCUGUCGGUAGACGCAAUCUUGUGCGCACCAUCUCUCCUUAUCCCCUUGACAGAAUUUAAUGAAACUUCACACAAGUGAUCAGUACCAACAGUAGUUGUGCAUGGGGCAUGUUAGGUUCUUUUAGAAAAAAAUUUGCAGAGUUAUGGGACUUUGUUUUUUUGUAACUAUACUAUAUACAUAGACACAAUCUUGUGCGCACCAUCUCUCCUCAUCCCCUUGACACAAUUUAAUGAAACUUCACACAAGUGAUCAGUACCAACAGUAGUUGUGCAUGGGGCAUGUUAGGUUCUUUUAGAAAAAAAAUUUGCAGAGUUAUGGGACUUUGUUUUUUUGUUACUAUACUAUAUACAUAGACACAAUCUUGUGCGCACCAUCUCUCCUCAUCCCCUUGACACAAUUUAAUGAAACUUCACACAAGUGAUCAGUAACAACAGUAGUUGUGCAUUGGGCAUGUUAGGUUCUUUCAGAAAAAAAAAUUUGCAGAGUUAUGGGACUUUGUUUUUUUGUUACUAUACUAUAUACAUAGACACAAUCUUGUGCACACCAUCUCUCCUCAUCCCCUUGACACAAUUUAAUGAAACUUCACACAAGUGAUCAGUAACAACAGUAGUUGUGCAUGGGGCAUGUUAGGUUCUUUCAGAAAAAAAAAUUGCAGAGUUAUGGGACUUUGUUUUUUUGUUACUAUACUAUAUACAUAGACACAAUCUUGUGCACACCAUCUCUCCUCAUCCCCUUGACACAGUUUAAUGAAACUUCACACAAGUGAUCAGUAACAACAGUAGUUGUGCAUGGGGCAUGUUAGGUUCUUUCAGCGACAAAAAUUGCAGAGUUAUGGGACUUUGUUUCUUGUUAACAUACUAUGUACAUACAGUCUGCAUAUGCAAUCUUGUGCGUGCCUAAUCUACCAAACCCUUACACACAAUUUAAUGAAACUUCACACAAGUGAUCAGUACCAACCCUAGUUGUGCAUGAUGCAUGUUACAUUCUUUUAGAUAAAUAUUCUGCAUAGUUAUGGGACUUUGUUUUUUGUUACUAUACUGUAUACAUACAGUCUAUAUACAUACAGUCCACAUAAUUAUGCAAUCUUGUGUGCGUCAAAUUGCAAUGUACUGUGCCAGUGCAUGCAGGGUGGGGGGGGGUACAUUCAUCACCUUUAGUGAUAGCUCUAGUUAAACAAGUUGUAUGGUAGUCAGACAUUGUAUAUUCUGCAACAAACUACAGUAUGAUGCUUGCUCAGGUGAGAGAAAUCAAAAUAAGAUGUCAAUUGCUGUAUUAUGUCUGGUCUGUUAUGUCUUGGAUGACAUAAAUUCAACAUAAGUUUUAUCAUAUUUCAGAUGCUUAGGUAUUUUACUAAUCAGGCUUGCCUCAGGGUUCAGUUCCUUUGCAGCUGAACUGCAAACAUUGGUACAAAGGCCUGAUCAUUUUUAUGGUCCCUUUCAAAGAAGGGGGAUAUAUUGUUUUGUUCAUGUCAUCUGUCUUUGCAUUGGUAAACAACUUGGUUACCUAUGGUGGACAAACUUCAUAUGAUUAUUGCCUUGUCUGUAGUCAGUGGAAGACCCCUGUAGUUUUCAGGGUCAAAGGUCAGGGUCACAUUAACCAUAAAAUAGAAAAUAUUAUUUGGGACAGAAGCCUUUUAUCUUUUAAAACAGAGGACCAACAAUAUUUUGUAAUGGCAGUUCUUCUAAGAACAUUAUAGUACAUUAUCAUAAUUUUUAUCAGAUACAAUCAGAUACCCAGAUAGAUCCUUGGAUUUCUCAAAACAAAGGACGUAGUUCACUUAAGCCUUAUAUCCUUAGGACACCGUGCACAUUUUUAUGCAGUCUCGCCAGGCAUAUGUAUGUUUUUGACAACACAGAAAAUGAAGGCACUUGACCUUCAGGUAUUUCCGGAAGUAAAGAAAAUGAAAGUGGACAUGCAAAACUUGAAAACGAAAGUCACCUUUGGAUUGGUCGAUAGUCAGGGGUCACAUGCAGGGCAAGGGUCACCCCGUCAAGGUGUAUGCGCGUAGACCUCUUUUUUUUUUUUUUUGCUAAUGGGGUGUCAGUUUUCAGCAUUUUUUUCUAAUGAUCUGAAAAUACCUGGGCUUUAGCACAACAUGUCAGCUUUUCAUCUUCGAAAAAAUAUUCGAACUUGGAAUAAACACAACGGGAUCCGUAACUGAGCAAGGGUACAUAGAGAUUUUUGGAACUUUGUCAAAUUGUUCAAAAGGUCCUUUUUGGUGUUGUCUAAAAGUGUCAGUAUAAGCCUCGGGUGUAAGAUAUUUCUGUAUUUGAGAGCUGCAGACCUAGACAUUUCAGAAAUAUUUUCAAAAUGAAAUUUGUGUAACAAAUGUUGAUUAUUACUUAAGCAUGAAGCCAUCAGAUGCUAAAUUAGAUAGAUACCUUUUAUCAUGUUACAAGUGCGGAAACAAGUUGCUACCAGCAGAUUUAUCUUGUAUAAUAAAUUCAAUUUUUUUUUAGAAAUAGAUUUAUUAUUUUGAUCAAAACAUGUCACUGAAUAUGUCUGAAUCACUGAGCAUUUUUUGCAAUAUUUAAGUCAUGUAAGUGUUUUAGUUGUGAACACACUGGAGGAUUAACAAAAUUUCUUUUCAAUUUGAGACUUCCAGUUUUUAGGCUAUUUUUGGGCAAAAAUGAAUUAUGUCCUUUCAUAACUGCCUGCCUGAACAGCAGUUGUACACAUCAGUAUGACAUGUAUCUUUAAAAAGAUAUCCAUGUCUGUCUAAUAUUUCAAAUGAUGACUCGUUAUUAUUUGGACUUGUAUUUUAUGAGGAUGAUAUAAAUCUGUGCUAAUUUCAUUCUAUUUACAUAAUUAUGAGCAUUGCCAUGAGAAAACCAUCAUAGUGCAUUUGCAACCAGCGACCAGCAUGGAUCCAGAUCAGUCUAUGCAUCCACACAGUCUGGUCAGGAUCCAUGUUGUUUGCUUUCAAAGCCUGUUGCAAUUAGAGACACUGUUACCGAACAGCAUGGAUCCUGAACAGACUAUGUGGAUGCGCAGGCUUGUCUGGAUCCCUGCUGGUAACAAAUGCAUUAUGUUGGUUUUCUCAUGGUGCGGCUCAUAUAUUUGUUGGUUACUAGCUUUGUAUGGAGAAAAAUGCACAAGUUCUGCAGCGGAAAUAUUGCUUGAUUGUAGGAGCCAAAUAUUCCACAAAAGAACGAGUGCAUAUUUCUUGAUGCAAAAGAAAUACCUAUGCACAUAUAGACAUAUUAAUGUUAUAUAAGUUUGUUUUAUAGCCUGACGAUAUUGACAUAAAUAGAUGAUUUAACAGGUUAAAAUGACAUCUAGCACCUGGUAUGAAAUUCAGAUGUCAUAAUGGAAAAAUAUAGAAAUUUCCCCUUUCUUUGCAACAUGACAGACUGAGAAUAAACAUAAGUAUGUAAUCAUUAAUAGUGUGUUGCCUACAUAGUAGAUAGCUGGCCUACUUACUUAAAAUGUUCUAUUAUUUUAAAAAAAAAGUAUGGUCUAGAAUUAAAUCGCUCUUGUUUUAUUUCUUAUUUACAUACUAACAUGAAAUUAUUUUGUAAACUUCAAUAAUUAGACACAUAUCUGAAGCUAUGCCAUUUUGAAUACAUACACCUAUUAGUAAAACUUUACUUCUUGAUUACAUGAAAUAUUAUGUACAUAAGAUUUGCUUUGCUUAAUAUAAUGUUCAUUUCCAAAAAACAAAGCUUUAUGUACACAUAAUUUAGACAGGCAUUUUUCCUUAAGCUUAGUUAUUAGGCAUUUUAUGACAAUAUCAACUUCCUUAAAAUUUUUCCUUUUAUACCUUGUUUUGAAAAAAAAACCUGAGUUAUUAUGAAAUGACACUGUCUGUCUGUCUAUCAACAAUUUUUGUUUCUGGAUGCUUAACACCCAGUAUAAUAGCUAUAGCUUUCAAGCUUUAUAGAUUGACUAAGCACCACUUGAGGAUGAUCCCUAUUGCUUUUGGGUUUAAUAAGUCUAAGGUCAAGGUCACAGUUAACUAGACUGAAAACAGUUUUCCCAGUCUGCAUCCGAACAGGCAUAUUAUGCCAAGCUCUUGUUUAAUAUUGAUAGGUACUGCUUUAAAAAAGCUUACUUUAGACUAAUGUAUAGAUUAUACAUUUUUCAGUUAAAACAGAAUUAAGCCGCGCCAUGUGAAAAACAACAUAGUGCCUUUGCGACCAGCAUUGAUCCAGAUCAGGUUGCGCAUCCGCGCAGUCUGGUCAGAAUCCAUGCUGUUCGCUAACAUUUUCUCUAAUUCCAAUAGGCUUAAAAAGAGAACAGCAUGGUUCCUGACAAGACUGCGCAGAUGCGCAGGCUGGUCUGGAUCCAUGCUGGUCGCAAAGCCACUAUGUUGGUUUUCUCAUGGUGUGGCUCAAUUAUGUUAAUGGUUUAUUAUAAAUACAUAACUGUUGUAUAUAAUGAACUCUUUGCAGUUUGAAUAGACAUACUGACAUUACUGUUUAAGUGAGUCACUGUGUGUAAUUGGAUAAAAAAGCUGUUUUUAGAGAAAUUAAACCCGCUUUGAAAGGAACAAAACUGAAUUAUGCAUGAUUGGAGUGAUGAUAGAAGAUUUUGUAGAUACUGAUUCACUUACAUUUAAGACCAAAAGUGUAUCUUUUAUUUGAAAGUCCAAGUUAAAACUUUUCUUUAAAUUAAUGUUUGUACAUUUUGUUUACCUUUUUUUUCAAAUGCUGUUAAUUCAUGUCACCAUUUUAAGCAGUUUGGUUUUUGAAUAGUUUUAUCAACAUUUUUUAAGUAAUUUUGUUGUGAAGCAGGUUUAAUUGUUACAGGUUAUGUUGUAUUUUGUUCAUUUUUUGUUAAAACAAAAUUUAGUGACAGUAAAAAGUGGAUAAAUAUAAAGCAACUGUAAGGUGUUAGUGUGUAAUAAAUGGAGAGUUCGUUGAGAAAGGUUAAUCUGAUAGGAUAUCAGGAGCUAAGAGAUCUCAGUCGAUAUGCUCACGAGUCUUCUUUAGUAAGACUUUGAACUUCCCAACAUGAAUCUUGGGAGGAGGAUAAAUGAUUUCAGAUGCAAUAUGUUUUAACAGUGGUAAUUAAGAAAAUGCGUCUCACCACAGGCUUGAACUUACAUGGCUCUUUUUGAUUGCCAGUUAAACAUAGAAGAAGGUCAAACUGUGUAUAGUUUGCAAUAAACAAUAGUAAAUGCUAGGAAGAGUUAGAGAGCUUUAUGACAUUAUUUAUUAUGACACCAAAUUGCCACAUGACGUCUGAUGUUUACUACUCCAUCAUAAGUUUUAUCAAAAUAUUUCAAGAGCAUGUAAGAAGGGCCUUCCUGUGCCAUUUGGUUUACCAUGGUUCAUCAUUUAAUUGCUUAGAUUACUCGGGCUAACGCCUUAAAGGUUCGGUUCCUGCAUACUAGUAUCUGAAAUAAGAACCGUGAUAAAUCAGGCAACAAACCACUCUAAGGAUAAUUACAAAACAACACGGUUAAAACCAUUUUCAUACAGAUUUAUGCACUAGAUCACACCAGCUUCUGUGAAUGUUUUUGAUACUGGAUACCAUCAUAUUUUGUUAGCUUUUGGUCAGUUAUGAAAUAUAUCAUUAUCUUGAUCGUGUGUUUUCUUGUUAAUGUACAAGAUUGUGUCAUAUCAACCAAAUAAAAGCACAUUUAACUGA